rnacentral:ribozyme from 1 species
AACAUCCACCAGGUGCAGAGAGAGGUGGAUAUGAGAUGUUUUAUAAGAUGUUUCUUUUAUUUUUACUCUUUAAUGCAUUGUUUCCACUAGGAACGGUAACAUGUCUUUCCGCAUAUCUGAGCUUGGGUAUACGGGGAAACCCAACCCCUUGGGAGGAUGGAAGACAUGGCUAAUUUGAGAGGA